rnacentral:rRNA from 1 species
CGGUUGAUCCCGCCGGAGGCCAUUGCUAUCGGAGUCCGAUUUAGCCAUGCUAGUCGCACGGGUUUAGACCCGUGGCGAAUAGCUCAGUAACACGUGGCCAAACUACCCUGUGGACGAGCAUAACCUCGGGAAACUGAGGCUAAUUCUCGAUACAGCUCGCAUGCUGGAGUGCAGCGAGCUGGAAACGCUCCGGCGCCACAGGAUGUGGCUGCGGCCGAUUAGGUAGACGGUGGGGUAACGGCCCGCCGUGCCGAUAAUCGGUACGGGUUGUGAGAGCAAGAGCCCGGAGACGGUAUCUGAGACAAGAUACCGGGCCCUACGGGGCGCAGCAGGCGCGAAACCUUUACACUGCACGACAGUGCGAUAGGGGGACUCCGAGUGCGAGGGCAUACAGUCCUCGCUUUUCUGUACCGUAAGGUGGUACAGGAACAAGUGCUGGGCAAGACCGGUGCCAGCCGCCGCGGUAAUACCGGCAGCACGAGUGAUGGCCGAUUUUAUUGGGCCUAAAGCGUCCGUAGCUGGCCAGACAAGUCCGUUGGGAAAUCCACGUGCUCAACGCGUGGGCGUCCAGCGGAAACUAUCUGGCUUGGGGCCGGAAGACUCGAGGGGUACGUCCGGGGUAGGAGUGAAAUCCUGUAAUCCUGGACGGACCACCGGUGGCGAAAGCGCCUCGAGAAGACGGACCCGACAGUGAGGGACGAAAGCCAGGGUCUCGAACCGGAUUAGAUACCCGGGUAGUCCUGGCCGUAAACGAUGUCGCUAGGGGUGGGGCGCAGGCUACGAGCCUGCGCUGUGCCGUAGGGAAGCCGAGAAGCGGACCGCCUG